GCCCGCAUGGUGUAGUUGGUUUAUCUCGUCGGUCUCAUAAUUCGAGCCCUUAAUCAGGGAGCAAUCCGAAGGUCGUCAGUUCAAACCUGACUGCGGGCA
rfam:Calocera cornea HHB12733 unplaced genomic scaffold CALCOscaffold_54, whole genome shotgun sequence.